GAGGUGGACUAGGCCCCAGGAAUAAAAACCCAUGAAGCAGAGAGGAGUGAAAACUGCCACCUCAGUCUGAUCCGCCCCGGGGGCAGUGCCAGUGCCGCAGCCCACCUGCCACUGGCCAGAUAGGCAAGCAAGCUGUGAUCCACUUCCCAGGCCUGGGUGAAGCCAAAAAGGGAUCACUUGACCCCAGGAAAAGCUCUCACCUCCAGCACGACCGCCAGAUACAGGGGAGGCAUUGUCAACAUCCCACAAUGGUGCCCAACCUAACGUGUAUCUUUUUCCCCUCUGGGAAUGUGAAUGGGGGAUGCACACGUGAAGAAGAGGAAGAGGGAGGACCAUCCUUCGCUGUGGAAACUAUCUGAGAGUAUCUAUACCACAGGCUUAGAGAUUUUCAACGCAGCAGUGCCAUUCUGGAAGUACCCUCCCUGCAUCCAAUCCAAGAAGUAAAAACUGUUUGACCAGCUGUGUCCACAGGACAAAUGAUGCCUCUAUUGCACCACUCUCAGCUCCAUUAAAAACAGAAGCGAAAGGA